CCAGACUCCUACGGGAGGCAGCAGUGGGGAAUAUUGCACAAUGGGGGAAACCCUGAUGCAGCGACGCCGCGUGAAGGACGAAGUAUUUCGGUACGUAAACUUCUAUCAGCAGGGAAGAAAAUGACGGUACCUGACCAAGAAGCCCCGGCUAACUACGUGCCAGCAGCCGCGGUAAUACGUAGGGGGCAAGCGUUAUCCGGAUUUACUGGGUGUAAAGGGAGCGUAGACGGCCAUGCAAGUCUGAUGUGAAAACCCGGGGCUCAACCCCGGGACUGCAUUGGAAACUGUGCGGCUGGAGUGUCGGAGAGGCAAGUGGAAUUCCUAGUGUAGCGGUGAAAUGCGUAGACAUUAGGAGGAACACCAGUGGCGAAGGCGGCUUGCUGGACGACGACCGACGUUGAGGCUCGAAAGCGUGGGGAGCAAACAGGAUUAGAUACCCUCGUAC
rnacentral:rRNA from 1 species